CCCACCAUGCCGCCCUACAAAUAUUAAAAAUAAAUAAAGAAAAACCAAGAGGGCUUGAACAUGUUAUACAACAAAGAAAAAAACCCAGUUUGCUUUACUGUCAGCUACAAAACUAAUGCUUCAUUUAUGUCACAUUGCCCUCUAGGUUUCAGAUGUGGUGUCCACUGUGCACCAUUAAACUCACCUAUAAUGGCCAUGCAGAAAUUACAACUGAACAGAGCAUAAGAUGGGGUGGGUCACUCGAUGUAUGCGGUGUUCUUCACAAUCAUCUGAAUGGCUGAGCACUUGAUAAUCACUUACCCACAGCAGGAGGCACAGUAGAAUGUUCCAUCGUGCAACUUACCAAAGUUGAAGAUUCUGCUGACUUACAGCGAGAUCCUCUGGUUCUAGGUCCCUCUAUACUGUUUGAUGUCUGGCUGCUUUCCUAGAAGAAGAGAAGAGUACAAAAUUCUGUGAUUGUCAGUUUCUUCUGAAACAACCCAGCAGAAUUACAUUUUAGGCCUGAGAACACAUAUUUACCUACAUUUCAUUAAAAA